rnacentral:rRNA from 1 species
UGGGGUUGGUACUUCGCAUGGACGAAGUCUGACGGAGCAACGCCGCGUGAGUGAUGAAGGUUUUCGGAUCGUAAAGCUCUGUUGUUAGGGAAGAACAAGUGCAAGAGUAACUGCUUGCACCUUGACGGUACCUAACCAGAAAGCCACGGCUAACUACGUGCCAGCAGCCGCGGUAAUACGUAGGUGGCAAGCGUUGUCCGGAAUUAUUGGGCGUAAAGGGCUCGCAGGCGGUUUCUUAAGUCUGAUGUGAAAGCCCCCGGCUCAACCGGGGAGGGUCAUUGGAAACUGGGAAACUUGAGUGCAGAAGAGGAGAGUGGAAUUCCACGUGUAGCGGUGAAAUGCGUAGAGAUGUGGAGGAACACCAGUGGCGAAGGCGACUCUCUGGUCUGUAACUGACGCUGAGGAGCGAAAGCGUGGGGAGCGAACAGGAUUAGAUACCCUGGUAGUCCACGCCGUAAACGAUGAGUGCUAAGUGUUAGGGGGUUUCCGCCCCUUAGUGCUGCAGCUAACGCAUUAAGCACUCCGCCUGGGGAGUACGGUCGCAAGACUGAAACUCAAAGGAAUUGACGGGGGCCCGCACAAGCGGUGGAGCAUGUGGUUUAAUUCGAAGCAACGCGAAGAACCUUACCAGGUCUUGACAUCCUCUGACAACCCUAGAGAUAGGGCUUUCCCUUCGGGGACAGAGUGACAGGUGGUGCAUGGUUGUCGUCAGCUCGUGUCGUGAGAUGUUGGGUUAAGUCCCGCAACGAGCGCAACCCUUGAUCUUAGUUGCCAGCAUUCAGUUGGGCACUCUAAGGUGACUGCCGGUGACAAACCGGAGGAAGGUGGGGAUGACGUCAAAUCAUCAUGCCCCUUAUGACCUGGGCUACACACGUGCUACAAUGGACAGAACAAAGGGCUGCGAGACCGCAAGGUUUAGCCAAUCCCACAAAUCUGUUCUCAGUUCGGAUCGCAGUCUGCAACUCGA